AGCAGUCGCCGCGGUAAUACGGAGGGUGCAAGCGUUAAUCGGAAUUACUGGGCGUAAAGCGUGCGUAGGCGGUUCGUUAAGUCUGUUGUGAAAGCCCCGGGCUCAACCUGGGAAUGGCAAUGGAUACUGGCGAGCUAGAGUGUGUCAGAGGAUGGUGGAAUUCCCGGUGUAGCGGUGAAAUGCGUAGAGAUCGGGAGGAACAUCAGUGGCGAAGGCGGCCAUCUGGGACAACACUGACGCUGAGGCACGAAAGCGUGGGGAGCAAACAGGAUUAGAUACCCCAGUAGUCCCUGUCUCUUAUAC
rnacentral:rRNA from 1 species